rnacentral:rRNA from 1 species
GUGGGGAAUAUUGCGCAAUGGGGGAAACCCUGACGCAGCGACGCCGUGUGAGGGAAGAAGGCUUUCGGGUCGUAAACCUCUGUCAGGAAGGAAGAACCUCUCAAGGCUGAACAAGCCUUGGGACUGACGGUACUUCCAGAGGAAGCACCGGCUAACUCCGUGCCAGCAGCCGCGGUAAUACGGAGGGUGCAAGCGUUAAUCGGAAUCACUGGGCGUAAAGCGCGCGUAGGCCGUCUUUUAAGUCGGACGUGAAAGCCCUCGGCUCAGCCGGGGAACUGCGUUCGAUACUGGGAGACUUGAGUCCUGGAGAGGGUGGCGGAAUUCCGGGUGUAGGAGUGAAAUCCGUAGAUAUCCGGAGGAACACCGGUGGCGAAGGCGGCCACCUGGACAGGUACUGACGCUGAGGCGCGAAAGCGUGGGGAGCAAACAGGAUUAGAAACCCGGGUAGUCC